AGUCGAGCGGCAGCGCGGGGCAACCUGGCGGCGAGCGGCGAACGGGUGAGUAAUACAUCGGAACGUGCCCAAGUGUGGGGGAUAGCCCGGCGAAAGCCGGAUUAAUACCGCAUACGAUCUAAGGAUGAAAGCGGGGGAUCGCAAGACCUCGCGCACUUGGAGCGGCUGAUGGCAGAUUAGGUAGUUGGUGGGGUAAAGGCCUACCAAGCCUACGAUCUGUAGCUGGUCUGAGAGGACGACCAGCCACACUGGGACUGAGACACGGCCCAGACUCCUACGGGAGGCAGCAGUGGGGAAUUUUGGACAAUGGGCGAAAGCCUGAUCCAGCCAUUCCGCGUGCAGGAUGAAGGCCCUCGGGUUGUAAACUGCUUUUGUACAGAACGAAAAGGCUCUGGUUAAUACCUGGGGCUCAUGACGGUACUGUAAGAAUAAGCACCGGCUAACUACGUGCCAGCAGCCGCGGUAAUACGUAGGGUGCAAGCGUUAAUCGGAAUUACUGGGCGUAAAGCGUGCGCAGGCGGUUUUGUAAGACAGAGGUGAAAUCCCCGGGCUCAACCUGGGAACUGCCUUUGUGACUGCAAGGCUGGAGUACGGCAGAGGGGGAUGGAAUUCCGCGUGUAGCAGUGAAAUGCGUAGAUAUGCGGAGGAACACCGAUGGCGAAG
rnacentral:rRNA from 1 species